UGAGAUGAUGAUGGUUGUGAUGGGAGAUGGUGAUGAACGUGGAGGUGGUUAUGUACACUAGUACAAAUAUGACAUAUUACACAUCAUGUUUACAUCUGACGAGCAUAUGUCAGAUGUAAAACGCUAUAUGGAGUAGUCUUUUCAUCUGGCUUCAAUGUCCACAGAUGUGAAAAAUAAAUAGACAAGACUUUUUACAUCUGACUUCAUUGUACCAGAAGCAUAACUAAACGCGGUGGCAAUCUUGUAAUUAUGGAAACAAUAUAUAAGUCAAUUAAGAUAAAAAUAAAUAAAUAAAAAAAAGACAUAUUCGUUCAACUCAGAGUGAACCCGCUGCUCUCACGAUGAACCCUAAACUAUCUAACGCUAAAUUCAACUUCUCUCUCACUCGAUUCAAUCGUUCAUCACGAUCUCAAAUUCCCUCUCAUCUCUCACAAUUGAACUCGUCCUCUCUCUCUCUCACUCGAAAUUGAACCAUCUCUCUCGAUGAAACCCUAAGAUUCUCAGGCGAAAUUGAACAAUCUCUCACUCGAACCUGGCCUCUCUCUCUCUCACACUCGUUCUCUCGAACUCCUCAUCUCUGAUUCGCCCAAACUUCAUCGUCUUCUUCAGGUUCUCAAG
rnacentral:lncRNA from 1 species